rnacentral:rRNA from 1 species
UCCUACGGGAGGCAGCAGUAGGGAAUAUUGCACAAUGGGGGAAACCCUGAUGCAGCGACGCCGCGUGAGUGAUGAAGUAUUUCGGUACGUAAAACUCUAUCAGCAGGGAAGAUAAUGACGGUACCUGACUAAGAAGCCCCGGCUAACUACGUGCCAGCAGCCGCGGUAAUACGUAGGGGGCAAGCGUUAUCCGGAUUUACUG